rnacentral:rRNA from 1 species
AGCGCAGGCGGUGCGGCAAGUCUGAUGUGAAAGCCCGGGGCUCAGCCCCGGUACUGCAUUGGAAACUGUCGUACUAGAGUGUCGGAGGGGUAAGCGGAAUUCCUAGUGUAGCGGUGAAAUGCGUAGAUAUUAGGAGGAACACCAGUGGCGAAGGCGGCUUACUGGACGGUAACUGACGUUGAGGCUCGAAAGCGUGGGGAGCAAACA